AGAGUUUGAUCCUGGCUCAGGAUGAACGCUAGCUACAGGCUUAACACAUGCAAGUCGAGGGGAAACGACAUCGAAAGCUUGCUUUUGAUGGGCGGUCGACCGGCGUACGGGUGAGUAACGCGUAUCCAACCUGGCCCACCACUUGGGGAUAACCUUGCGAAAGUAAGACUAAUACCCAAUGAUAUCUCUAGGAAGACAUCUGAAAGAGAUUAAAGAUUUAUCGGUGAUGGAUGGGGAUGCGUCUGAUUAGCUUGUUGGCGGGGUAACGGCCCACCAAGGCAACGAUCAGUAGGGGUUCUGAGAAGAAGGUCCCCCACAUUGGAACUGAGACACGGUCCAAACUCCUACGGGAGGCAGCA
rnacentral:rRNA from 1 species